GGGACUCAGAGGGGAGAGGACAUGUUUUGACAGGAUGACUUCUUAUAAGAGCAUCUCUGAGUGUGCUUAUCUUGUGCUGAAGGAAUUAUCUACUUACUGGUAUUCCCUUACCUGCUCCUUCAGCAGUUGGAUCUAGAAGCGCCAACUCACAGUACUGAACAGUAACAGAAGGCAGUCAACCUCAGGGCCUUCUUCUCCACCAGGUCACAGAAGAGCCCAUUUGCCAAUGGAUUAUACCAUGCACCUGAGAACAUAUUCCUCAGAGGUUUCCACGCCUGAUAUAAUGUAUGAGAUUGGCAUUGCUACCUAGUUGGG
rnacentral:lncRNA from 1 species